AUGUGCUAGAGAGGUCUCCUGAAGGCAGCAGAUGGUUGUGGGAAGAUCCGGAGUCAGGUGUCACUACUCAGUACACUUGGACCCAGCUUACCCAAGGGUUUGAGAACUCCCCUACUAUCUUUGGGGAGGCCCUGGCUCGAGACCUGCAAAAGUUUCCUGCUAAAGACCUAGGCUGCAUCUUGCUCCUGUACAUGGAUGACCUUCUGCUGGGACACUCCACGGCAGUCAGGUGCGCAAAAGGGAUGGAUGCCCUGCUUCAGCACCUGGAGGACUGUGGGUAUAAGGUGUCCAAGAAGAAAGCUCAGAUCUGCAGACAGCAGGUACGCUACCUGGGAUUCACUAUUCAGAAAGGGGAGUGCAGCCUGGGGUCAUAAAGAAAGCAGGUCACCUGCAGCCUACCAGAACCUAAAACCAGGAGGCAAGUAAGGGAAUUCCUAGGAGCUGUAGGGUUUUGCAGAUUAGGGAUUUCAAACUUUGCAAUGCUAGCAAAACCUUUGUACAGGGUUACAAAGUGGGGCGAUUGGGAGCGCUUUGAAUGGGAACCUCUACAACAGCAAGCCUUUUGUAAGUUAAAGGAAAAAUUUAUGUCGGCCCCAGCCCUAGGACUACCAGAUUUGACAAAGCCCUUUACACUCUAUGUGUCAGAAAGAGAAAAAACGGCAGUUGGAGUUUUAAUCCAGACUGUGGGGCCCUGGCCUACACCAGUGGCCUAUCUCUCAAAACAACUAGAUGGGGUUUCCAAAGGCUGGCCACCAUGUCUAAGGGCCCUGGCAGCAACAGCCCUGUUAGCACAAGAAGCAGAUAAACUAACCCUUGUGCAAAACCUGAAUAUAAAGGCCCCCCAUGCUGUGGUAACUUUGAUGAAUACCAAAGGACAUCAUUGGCUACCAAAUGCUAGUUUAAUCAAGUACCAAAGCUUGCUAUGUGAAAAUCCCCGCAUAACCACUGAAGUCUGUAACACCCUAAAUCCCGCCACCUGCUCCCAGUAUCAGAGAGCCUGGUCAAGCGUAACUGUGUAGAGGUGUUGGACUCAGUUUAUUCUAGCAGACCUGACUUUUGGGACCAGCCAUGGGCAUCAGUAGACUGGGAGUUAUACGUGGAUGGGAGUAGCUUCAUCAACCCAUAAGGAGAAAGAUGUGCAGGAUAUGCAGUGGUAACUUUGGAUGCUGCCAUUGAAGCCAAACUGUUGCCACAGGGCACUUCAGCCCAGAAGCCUGAGCUCAUUGCUUUAACUCGGGCUCUAGAACUCAGUGAAGGUAAGACUAAACAUCUACACUGACUCUCGAUAUGCUUUUCUAACCCUCCAAGUGCAUGGAGCAUUAUAUAAGGAAAAGGUCCUGUUAAACUCUGGGGGAAAGGACAUAAAAUAUCAACAAGUAAUUCUACAAUUACUAGAGGCAGUGUGGAAACCUCAGAAGGCAGCAGUCAUGCACUGCAGGGGACACCAGCAAGCCUCCACCUCAGUGGCCUUAGGAAACUCUUGAGCUGAUUCAGAAGCUCAAAAUGCAGCAUCUACCCCUUACUGGGCAUCAGUAGCAGCCCCCUUACUCCCUCAAACACCUGACCUGGUACCUACCUAUUCUAAGGAAGAAAAAGACUUCUUCCAUGCAGAAGGGGGGCAAGUAAUAAAAGGAGGAUGGAUCAGACUGCCAGAUGGGAGAGUAGCUAUGGCACAAUUGCUGGGAGCCACAAUCAUAUUGGCCAUGCAUGAAACCACUCAUCUAGGUCAAGAGUCACAUGAAAAAUUGUUAAGCUGCUACUUCUACAUCUCAUACUUGCCAGCCCUUGCCAAAGCUGUAGCACAGCAGUGCAUUAUUUGCCAACAGCACAAUGCGAGGUAAGGCCCCACUGUUCCACCCGGCAUACAAGCUUAUGGAGCGGCUCCUUUUGAGGAUUUUGAGGUGGAUUUCACAGAAAUGCCGAAAUGUGGAGGUAACAAGUAUUUGCUGGUUCUUGUGUGUACUUACUCUGAGUGGGUGGAGGCGUAUCCAACACAAACUGAAAAGGCCUAUGAGGUAACCCAUGUGUUUCUCUGAGAUUUUAUUCCUAGGUUUGGACUGCCUUUAUGAAUUGGCUCAGAUAAUGGGCGGGCAUUUGUGGCUGACUUGGUACAGAAGACAGCAAAGGCAUUAGGAAUCACUUGGAAGCUAUGUGCCACCUACUGACCUCAGAGUUCUGGAAAAGAUGGAGUGAAUGAAUCGGACUAUCAAAAAUAGUUUAGGGAAAGUAUGUCAGGAAAUAGGAUUAAAGCAGAUACAGUCUCUUCCUAUGAUAUUGUUUAAAAUUAGAUGCACUCCUUCUAAGAAAACAGGACACUCCCCUUAGGAAAUACCGUAUCAUAGGCCUCCUCCCAUACUACUGGGGCUUUCAGGCACUCCCCAAGUGUCAGGUGAAAUUGAAUUACAGCGACAGCUACAGGCUUUAGGAAAAAUUACACAAACAAUCUCAACUUGGGUAAAUGAGAGGUAUCCCAUCAGCUUACUCUCCCCAGUUCACCCGUUCUCUCCAGGUGAUCGCAUGUGGAUCAAGGACUGGAACAUAGCCCCUUUGUGGCCAUGGUGGAAAGGACCUCAGACCAUCAUCCUGACCACCCCCAAGGCUGUAAAGGUAGAAGGAAUCCCAUCCUGGGUCCACCACAGCCAUGUGAAUCCUGCAGCCGCUGAAACCUGGGAGGCAAAACAGAGCCUGGACAACCCCUGCAAAGUGACUCUGAGGAGGAUGACAAGCCCUGCUCCAGUCACACCUGGAAGCUGACUGGUCUACGCACAGCCAAAACAUGAGGAGGAUCAUUGUGGGACUCACUUUCCUUAUAAUUUGGACUUGUAUAGUAAAAACUUCCACUGAUUUUCCUCACAUGUAGGACUGCUCUCAGUGUAUACAUCAGGUUACCGAGGUAGCACAACAAGUUACAACAAUCUUUCUGUUCUAUAGUUACUAUGAAUGCCCAGGAAAUUUAAAAGGAAUAUGUUUAUAUAACGACACUCAGUAUAAGGUAUGUAGCCCAGGAAAUGACUGGCCAGAUGUGUGUUAUGACCCCUUUGAGCCUCCCAUGUCCACAGUUUUUGAAAUAAAAUUAAGGACUGAA